rnacentral:sRNA from 1 species
GAAAUUCCCAGGCACCUUGAGGAGCUAGGAGUGGGUCUGGGCAAAUGGGGAAGGAAAGCGUUUGGAAGAGGGUGCAAGUCGAGUUUCCCCAGCCUGAGUGGUGAGGGCAAGUCCACAAAGACCUGCAGCUGGACUGGACCUUCGAGGAGCCACCCAGAGGUGAGGGGAUGCGGGCCCACCUGCCUGCCAUAGCCCUGCGCCUGCGUCCGUCCCUCCCUGGGGCUGGGACUUGCAGCCCCGCCUGGCUUUGGGGCUCUCCAGUUGGCUCAGUUCAACCUAAGAGGUUUUUAUAGCUCAUUUCCAGAGCACUUCAAAUCCCCCGACCCCAGGCAUCUAGGAGCCCAGCAAAGACCUGCCCACAGGCCCGGCCCGGCAGCAUCUUCCAGUGGAAGAAGCUGGGACCACUCUGAAGAGUUACCUAGAAGCACCUUUAGCUACAGACCUGGAGCAUUCUCCACUGUGCUGCAGCCCCCAAAUCAGGUGCUCAGAUGCCGAGAAAAAGUAGACAAUGUCUGGACGGAAGAAUCCUGGAACCAGUUUCUGCAGGAACUAGAGACUGGGCAGAGGCCCAAGAAACCGCUGGUGGACGACCCUGGUGAGAAGCCCUCCCAGCCCAUUGAGGUGCUGCUGGAGAGAGAGCUGGCCAAGCUGAGCGCCGAGCUGGACAAGGACCUGCGGGCAAUUGAGACCCGACUGCCGUCCCCCAAGAGCUCGCCGGCGCCCCGACGGGCCCCGGAGCAGCGGCCCCAGGCCGG